UACGUAGGGUGCAAGCGUUAAUCGGAAUUACUGGGCGUAAAGCGUGCGCAGGCGGUUCGCUAAGACAGAUGUGAAAUCCCCGGGCUUAACCUGGGAACUGCAUUUGUGACUGGCGGGCUAGAGUAUGGCAGAGGGGGGUAGAAUUCCACGUGUAGCAGUGAAAUGCGUAGAGAUGUGGAGGAAUACCGGUGGCGAAGGCGGCCCGCUGGGCUGUUGCUGACGCUGAGGCGCGACAGCGUGGGGAGCAAACAGG
rnacentral:rRNA from 1 species